CCUAAAAUGAGCUAAAGCUGAUCUAAACCUUACCUAAAUCUAAUUCGAAUUAAGUCAAAUCUAUCCCAAACAUUAGAAACACGAUAUAUUCUACCUAGCACACUUUCGUGCAUAACUUGCAAGGUAAAGGCGAGCGGCAAAAACAUAUAUGGGAAAAAGUUAUUCAAAAUAGAGUUCUUGGUAACAUAUUUCAAGGCCAUCGAAAGGCGGCCCCUUUUCUGGACAAUUACCGUUUCAAUUAAUAGUCAGAUUUUUAACGAGUUUCGUCGAAGACCCCACGGAUUUGGUACGUGAAAGAAACUUUUGCACAGACUUACAUACUACUUAAAUGCGACGAGAAGCAAAAAAAUCAGUGAGUCGUGUACACAGAGACACACGUCUUUUGACGAGGUUGGACGCCACGCUCGAGCGACGUGCUCGUCGCCGGACCAAAAGGGGACAAAAAUACAUCGGCGAGUAAUUUUAAAGUUGCGCAAACGUCUAGAGGCUUGACAUUGUUUCACUCGCAUGCGAACGAGCACGGGAAAAUAUUCUUGAGACGAAUGUAAGCGGAGGAAAGCGUGCAUAAUAGCCGUGGCGUGAAGACGAGACGAAAUUAUUACCGUGUCCUAGGUAACAAAGAAUCCUCACCUCGGCCUUCGUAUUUGGAGACGUGGUCGAGGCGAACUGGGUCAGUUACGUGUUUGUGUGCAUGUGUGUGUUUCGCAGCUCGCGGUUGCUGCGGGGCGCGUGAAUUCAAGACCGUUGCAUUGUCAGCACGGAAAGGAAUUAUAUCCCGAGAUGAGGUAUCGUUUUCCACCACCUUGGAAAUCCGUCAUAAAAGUUGCCGGAAUUAAUUGCAUUCUGGUAGUUUCUGUUCGAACUGAAGUUCGGUCAGUCCUUAUCUAAUCGGAAACACCACUGUUUUAUAGGUCUUUUCAGGAGCAGCUGCCUGGAAAGGAUUUACGAAGGAUUUUCCAGAAUUACGAGUCAGCUCGAGCAGCGAUGACAACGAUCCUAUGUUUGAAAGCCAAGGUGAAUGCAACGCACUCUAGCAACGCAUCGGCACGCGUAUUUUAUGCGUGACGUAGGAUCGCACUGAAUGGACAGCCGCGGCGGAAAGGAUGCGGUUAACCUCGCUAGUUUCGUGUUUCCUACGAAGGUGAAACGUUGAUGCACACACGUGUGAUAUUUGCCGCAGGUUCGUAGAAAUAUGCCGCUUCUUUUCGCUCAUCGACCACACGACGAUUUCUUUACAACGUUUAAGGAACAUCGCGUGAAAUACUUUCGGAAAUAUAAUACCGAAUCGUUCCAUCUUUCAAUAGUUUUAAUACGUCUUUGAUUUAUGUUAAUAACCAAAGCAAUUUCCAGAAAUCGUAACGCGAGGUGAAUUAAAGCCGCUCGUGAAACAUCAUUACCAUUUAUACUAUGGAAGAUUUAAAAUUGAAAAUAGCCCUCCGAACAUGAAGAUGACUCACGAUCUUAAUAUCGUUCCAUGAAAACUCACAUAAAUUGGAUCGUAAAGCAACUUUACUCGAAGAUCAUUCGUUUUAAGCUAAUAGAAGCGAGUUCUUCUUCCCUUGUAACGAGCUACGCAAUAGAAAAUACAUUACUUUGAUGAACGAUUA